CUACGGGUGGCAGCAGUGGGGAAUAUUGGGCAAUGGGCGCAAGCCUGACCCAGCAACGCCGCGUGAGGGAAGAAUGUCUUCGGAUUGUAAACCUCUGUCCUUGGGGACGAAAAAAAUGACGGUACCCAAGGAGGAAGCUCCGGCUAACUACGUGCCAGCAGCCGCGGUAAUACGUAGGGAGCAAGCGUUGUCCGGAAUUAUUGGGCGUAAAGGGUGCGUAGGCGGCGCUGUAAGUCAGAUGUGAAAUCCCCGGGCUUAACUCGGGAGUUGCAUUUGAAACUACAGUGCUUGAGUAAAGAAGGGGUAAGUGGAAUUCCUAGUGUAGCGGUGGAAUGCGUAGAUAUUAGGAGGAACACCAGUGGCGAAGGCGACUUACUGGUCUUUUACUGACGCUGAGGCACGAAAGCGUGGGGAGCAAACAGGAUUAGAUACCCUGGUAGUC
rnacentral:rRNA from 1 species